rnacentral:rRNA from 1 species
AUUGAACGCUGGCGGCAGGCCUAACACAUGCAAGUCGAGCGGCAGCGGGAAAGUAGCUUGCUACUUUUGCCGGCGAGCGGCGGACGGGUGAGUAAUGCCUGGGGAUCUGCCCAGUCGAGGGGGAUAACUACUGGAAACGGUAGCUAAUACCGCAUACGCCCUACGGGGGAAAGCAGGGGACCUUCGGGCCUUGCGCGAUUGGAUGAACCCAGGUGGGAUUAGCUAGUUGGUGAGGUAAUGGCUCACCAAGGCGACGAUCCCUAGCUGGUCUGGGAGGAUGAUAAGCCGCAGUGGAACUGGGACACGGUCCAGACUCCUACGGGAGGCAGCAGUGGGGAAUAUUGCACAAGGGGGGAAACCCUGAUGCAGCCAUGCCGCGUGUGUGAAGAAGGCCUUCGGGUUGUAAAGCACUUUCAGCGAGGAGGAAAGGUUGGUAGCUAAUAACUGCCAGCUGUGACGUUACUCGCAGAAGAAGCACCGGCUAACUCCGUGCCAGCCGCCGCCGUAAAAC